ACCUCUGGAAUAGUUCAGUCAGUAGAGCAUGAGAUUCUUAAUCUCAGGGUUGUGGGUUUGAGCUCCACGUUAGGCA